rnacentral:rRNA from 1 species
GACGAACGCUGGCGGCGUGCCUAAUACAUGCAAGUCGAACGAGAGCGCCCGGUGCUUGCUCUGGUCAAUCUAGUGGCGAACGGGUGAGUAACACGUGGGUAACCUGCCCAUCAGAGGGGGAUAACAUCCGGAAACGGAUGCUAAUACCGCAUAGGUCUCCGAACCGCAUGGUUUGAAGAGGAAAAGCGGCGCAAUCUUCUGCUGAUGGGCGGCCCCGCGGUGUUUUCGCUAGUUGGUGAGGUAACGGCUCUCCAAGGCCGUGAUGCAUAGACGACCUCGAAGAGUGAUCGGCGACCUGAGGACUGAAACGCGGACAAAGCUCCUACAGGAGGCAGCAGAAUGUGAUCGGCGGCAGUGGGGGGGAGUCUGGCAGAGCGACGCCGCGGGGGAUGAAAAAAUGCUCGGAUCGUAACACUCUCUUGUUAGUGAAAAACCAGUGCUAGCGUAGGAGUUAGCGCAGUGACGGUAUCUAACCAGAAAGCCACGGCUAACUACGUG